GUACACAUCCUGUAUGGUAGGGGUUAUAGUUAACACUAGGUACACACCCUGUAUGGUAGGGGUUAGAGUUAACACUAGGUACACACCCUGUAUGGUAGGGGUUAGAGUUAACACUAGGUACACAUCCUGUAUGGUAGGGGUUAUAGUUAACACUAGGUACACAUCCUGUAUGGUAGGGGUUAUAGUUAACACUAGGUACACAUCCUGUAUGGUAGGGGUUAUAGUUAACACUAGGUACACAUCCUGUAUGGUAGGGGUUAUAGUUAACACUAGGUACACACCCUGUAUGGUAGGGGUUAUAGUUAACACUAGGUACACAUCCUGUAUGGUAGGGGUUAUAGUUAACACUAGGUACACAUCCUGUAUGGUAGGGGUUAGGGUUAACACUAGGUACACAUCCUGUAUGGUAGGGGUUAGAGUUAACACUAGGUACACACCCUGUAUGGUAGGGGUUAGAGUUAACACUAGGUACACAUCCUGUAUGGUAGGGGUUAGAGUUAACACUAGGUACACACCCUGUAUGGUAGGGGUUAUAGUUAACACUAGGUACACAUCCUGUAUGGUAGGGGUUAGGGUUAGAGUUAACACUAGGUACACACCCUGUAUGGUAGGGGUUAGGGUUAGAGUAAACACUAGGUACACAUCCUGUAUGGUAGGGGUUAGAGUUAACACUAGGUACACAUCCUGUAUGGUAGGGGUUAGAGUUAGAGUUAACACUAGGUACACACCCUGUAUGGUAGGGGUUAGAGUUAACACUAGGUACACACCCUGUAUGGUAGGGGUUAGGGUUAACACUAGGUACACACCCUGUAUGGUAGGGGUUAGGGUUAACACUAGGUACACACCCUGUAUGGUAGGGGUUAGAGUUAACACUAGGUACACAUCCUGUAUGGUAGGGGUUAGAGUUAACACUAGGUACACAUCCUGUAUGGUAGGGGUUAGGGUUAGAGUUAACACUAGGUACACACCCUGUAUGGUAGGGGUUAGAGUUAACACUAGGUACACACCCUGUAUGGUAGGGGUUAGGGUUAACACUAGGUACACAUCCUGUAUGGUAGGGGUUAGGGUUAUAGUUAACA
rnacentral:lncRNA from 1 species